CUCACACUCUGACACCGGCAGGUGAUCUCACCACUGGGCUCCACGGAGCAAACACCAACUGGGGCGGAAGACAGGCCAGCACAGAGUUGGGCGCAGGGGGUGGGAGGCAGAGGCGCCUGCGCAGGAGGGCGGCAGGGACUAGGGACAAACCCCAGGCCGGCAACUCUCAGCCUAGGGCCCUCUGCGCAGGGCCCUUGGCAAGGAGGGAGUGUGCCUGAGCAUGCGGGGCACUGACUGACGUCUCCAGAGCCUGCCGCCCUCCCCUCGGCGCUGCACCCCCUCCUUCCCCCUGUGGGGGCCCAGGCCCUGCUGCUGUCUGAGCCGCAGCCCCCCCACCCCCCAGCCCUCACUGCACAGGAACAUCGUCCUCCGCUCACCCUCCUAAAGGGAGCGCGCUUACAAACUCCCGGUCCAAGUGCCUUACGUAACUCUCUUGGCUGAACAUUUUUAAAAACUUCUUUCUGGAAAAACUCGGGCUACUUAAUAAGCUUCUCCAAGGUGCAUGAAAUGAGAGCUUGGCUCUCCCACUUGUACAAGCCAGGCCAGGCCCAGGCACAUGGACAGAGCCGGGGGUUCAGAAAGCUCUGGAGGGCACGCUAAGAUGCGGGUCACCGAGUUCACCCCCGUCUCUGACUCAGCAGGCCUGGGGCGGGGCCUGAGAACCUGCAUUUCCAGCAUCUUUGCAGGCGCUGCUGCCGGUCAGGACCCACACACUGAGCGUGGCGGUGCGCCCAGCAUCCCUCUGCCCAGUUCUGAGUGGGGGCGGGAAGUGGCCACGCUGGGCUGAACACCUGGAAUCAGAAGCACAGCGGCCACUGCUGGUUGGGCCGCGGUCCUGAGGACAUCCGUCUCGUCCUCUGAAACUCGAGGGAAAAGGUCUGCCGUUCCACAAGUUCAGACACAUCCUUUCAAAAGCAACUCCGGUGAUUAUGAGAAAUAUCAGAACUCCUAAAAGAGACACCAACCAGCAGUCCGAGUGUCGAUGCCUGAGUUAACAAUACAGCUCUGGCUUCUGCCGCAGGGGGAAACGCAGACGGUUUAGCUAAGAAGCCUCGAAGACCUCCACCCCAGAAAACGACUGUGUUGAAGUGGCACCUGCCCAUCCCUUCCGGGCCAAGCCCCCCCUCUCCUUAGCAGCACAGCCUGAGGUUCUGCAUCCUUCUCACGCUCCAGAUGACACUUCGGUCGUCCCAAAAGACAGACUCCGCAGUGCCCAGAGAUGCAGGACCUCGCUCUGUGAAUGUCCCAUAGAACCCCGGGGGGUUGCAUUCAUCUUCUGUCUCCCCACUGUCAGUUCCCCAGACAACACUCUCCAGACCCACCCUUAAUCUUCUUUCAAACUUUUUUCUUUCACUUUCUCAGCACAAUGUCCAAGCCCAAUAAAAGAUGAUUGUUUUGUCCUGGCUA